AUGUACCCUCAAUAUCGUCCUCGCAUCUUGCUCCUCUUGGCACUAGUACACAAACAAGCAAGCAGCCUGCUGGAUGGAUUAUUGUGGAAGGUAGCUUACAUAUGGAUGGAUUCCUCGUGGAUGACAGCAGAUGACGAGGACCAGUGGCUUCUACCGCGGGAGGCGCGCAUGGUCCAUGCGCUAGUUCUGCUCAAGCCGCUUCAAUUCUUCAUGGCCGCCCGGAGGAAGGGAUGGCUGCAGACGGCCCCGGCUAGAUCUGCCCAGGACUCCGGCGGCUGCGCGCUCCUCAUGGCCGCCUCCUCGGGCCUCCUCGAGCCUGGUGGGGAGGAGGGAACGACCCUGGGGCCGAGGAUUGCGUGGGCGACCUACAGAGAAAGGGGCGAGCGGCGGCGGCGGCAUGAGGCCCUCAGGCGACUUGCGGCGGCGGCUUGCGGCGUGGUAUGCGGUGGAUUUAAUGGGUAG
rnacentral:rRNA from 1 species